UAGGAAAGUCUUUUGGCGGUUGGUGGGAUGGGCCCGCGGCCUAUCAGCUUGUUGGUGGGUAAUGGCCUACCAAGGCGACGACGGGUAGCCGGCCUGAGAGGGUGUCCGGCCACACUGGGACUGAGAUACGGCCCAGACUCCUACGGGAGGCAGCAGUGGGGAAUAUUGCACAAUGGGCGCAAGCCUGAUGCAGCGACGCCGCGUGAGGGAUGACGGCCUUCGGGUUGUAAACCUCUUUCAAUAGGGACGAAGCGCAAGUGACGGUACCUAUAGAAGAAGCACCGGCCAACUACGUG
rnacentral:rRNA from 1 species